ensembl:miRNA predicted gene, 44356
CCUCAGCCUUACUCUUCUGGGCAAUGUCCUCAUACUGGGCCUUGACCUCAGCGAUGAUGCUGUCCAGGUCCAGGCAGCGAUUGUUGUCCAUGGACAGGACCACAGAUGUGU